rnacentral:rRNA from 1 species
AUUGAACGCUGGCGGCAGGCUUAACACAUGCAAGUCGAGCGGGGGAAGGUAGCUUGCUACUGGACCUAGCGGCGGACGGGUGAGUAAUGCGUAGGAAUCUGCCUAUUAGUGGGGGACAACAUCUCGAAAGGGAUGCUAAUACCGCAUACGUCCUACGGGAGAAAGCAGGGGAUCUUCGGACCUUGCGCUCAUAGAUGAGCCUAAGUCGGAUUAGCUAGUUGGUGGGGUAAAGGCCUACCAAGGCGACGAUCUGUAGCGGGUCUGAGAGGAUGAUCCGCCACACUGGGACUGAGACACGGCCCAGACUCCUACGGGAGGCAGCAGUGGGGAAUAUUGGACAAUGGGGGGAACCCUGAUCCAGCCAGCCGCGUGUGUGAAGAAGGCCUUAUGGUUGUAAAGCACUUUAAGCGAGGAGGAGGCUACUCUAGUUAAUACCUAGGGAUAGUGGACGUUACUCGCAGAAUAAGCACCGGCUAACUCCGUGCCAGCAGCCGCAGUAA